CCUACGGGAGGCAGCAGUGAGGAAUAUUGGUCAAUGGACGAGAGUCUGAACCAGCCAAGUAGCGUGAAGGAUGACUGCCCUAUGGGUUGUAAACUUCUUUUAUAAAGGAAUAAAACGAGGCACGUGUGCCUUUUUGCAUGUACUUUAUGAAUAAGGAUCGGCUAACUCCGUGCCAGCAGCCGCGGUAAUACGGAGGAUCCGAGCGUUAUCCGGAUUUAUUGGGUUUAAAGGGAGCGUAGAUGGGUUGUUAAGUCAGUUGUGAAAGUUUGCGGCUCAACCGUAAAAUUGCAAUUGAUACUGGCAGUCUUGAGUACAGUUGAGGUAGGCGGAAUUUGUGGUGUAGCGGUGAAAUGCUUAGAGAUCACGCAGAACCCCGAUUGCGAAGGCAGCUUACCAGCGGCGAUCUGACGCUGAGGCACGAAAGCGUGGGUAUCGAACAGGAUUAGAUACCCCAGUAGUC
rnacentral:rRNA from 1 species